rnacentral:rRNA from 1 species
AGCGAACGUUAGCGGCGGGCCUAACACAUGCAAGUCGAGCGAGAAAGGGGCUUCGGCCCUGAGUAAAGCGGCGGACGGGUGAGUAACACGUAGGUAAUCUUCCCUUGAGCGGGGGACAACGGUCCGAAAGGACCGCUAAUACCGCAUACGUUUCUGCGGACUCCGGUCCUUGGAAGGAAAGCUAGGUCGCAAGAUCCGGCACUCGAGGAGGAGCCUGCGUCGCAUCAGCUAGUUGGUGGGGUAAUGGCAUACCAAGGCGAAGACGCGUAGCUGGUCGGAGAGGGUGAUAAGCCACCCUGGGACUGAGACACGGCCCAGACUCCUACGGGAGGCAGCAGUGGGGAAUAUUGGACAAUGGGCGCAAGCCUGAUCCAGCCACGCCGCGUGAGUGAUGAAGGCCUUCGGGUCGUAAAGCUCUGUGGGGAGGGACGAACCGCUGCACGUGCAUAGCGUGCAGCAUGACGGUACCUCCUUAGCAAGCACCGGCUAACUUCGUGCCAGCCGCCGCCGUAA